rnacentral:lncRNA from 1 species
UUAAAAUAUCUAGAAGGAUCAUGUCAAGUUUCAUGUUAUGUUCUUCUCAGCCCUAGUCCUGGUGGUGAGCACUGCAGGAGAGAUUGUGAGUGUGACUGUGUCCAACAGCUGAGAAGAGCAGAAAUGCGUCUUCUUGCUCUUCAGUUUGUCAUGUGUCAGCAUCACUGCUGGAGACACUACUUCACCUCCCCACUGGGUGAAAAUGCUCUUUGGGGGACUGAGGGCCUGCCGGACAGCAUAGCAGAAACACUGAAAACACUACAGAAAGAUUACCAUGAGAUGAGGAAACAGAUUCUAGCAGGCACUCCUCUGGAUAACCUCAAGCCCCUGUCAGUAGACUCUGAAAAGAUAACUACAAGGGCAAACUACAGCCCAGCACUGGAUGAAGCAAAAGGUGACAGCAACAAGCGAGAUAAAGCUCUGGUCUUUUUACACAAGCAGCCGGGAGCUUCCGCUGAGAAGAACCCUGGUAUGAAUCUCAAAUCGAAGAAAUAAAUAAAUGGGAAUAAUUUUUCAACUGUUUUAAAUGCAUGCUAUGGUAGGUGUCAUCAAGGAUCCAAAUAGCAGCGAGGCUUGGUUUGAUGCAGAAGAGGAACUUGGGUCUCCAAAUCAGGAUGGAAAGAUGGAGAAACUGAAUGAAAGGAGGGAAAGUAUGGACUGCAAAAUAUGAAAGUG